GAUGAACGCUGGCGGCGUGCCUCAAACAUGCAAGUCGAGCGAGGCUAUGAAUUACCGACAAGGUAAGGCAUAGCCUAGCGGCGAACGGGUGAGUAACACGUGGGUAACCUACCUGGAAGACAGGGAUAACGAUUCGAAAGGGUCGCUAAUACCUGAUAAUAUCCAUCUGCCGGAUGGCGGAGGGAAGAAAGGGGAAACCCGCUUUCAGAUGGGCCCGCGUCCCAUCAGCUAGUUGGUAAGGUAAAGGCUUACCAAGGCGACGACGGGUAGCCGGUCUGAGAGGAUGUACGGCCACACUGGGACUGAGAUACGGCCCAGACUCCUACGGGAGGCAGCAGUUGGGAAUCUUAGGCAAUGGACGAAAGUCUGACCUAGCGACGCCGCGUGAGGGAAGAAGGCCUUCGGGUUGUAAACCUCUGUCAUGGGGGAAGAAGGAAGUGACGGUACCCCAAGAGGAAGCCCCUGCUAACUACGUG
rnacentral:rRNA from 1 species